rnacentral:rRNA from 1 species
CAGCAGCCGCGGUAAGACAGAGGAUGCAAGCGUUAUCCGGAAUGAUUGGGCGUAAAGCGUCUGUAGGUGGCUUUUCAAGUCACUUGUUAAAUUCUUCGGCCUAACUGAAGGUCUGCAAGUGAUACUGAUGAGCUAGAGGGUGGAAGAGAGAAGUGGAAUUCUCGGAGUAGCGGUAAGAUGCGUAGAUCUCGAGAGGAACACCAAUGGCGAAGGCAGCUUCUUGGUCCAUCCCUGACGUUCAUACACGAAAGCGUGGGGAGCAAACAGGAUUAGAGACCCCCGUAGUCCCUGUCUCUUAUAC